AGUGAACGCUGGCGGUAGGCCUAACACAUGCAAGUCGAACGGCAGCACAGUAAGAGCUUGCUCUUACGGGUGGCGAGUGGCGGACGGGUGAGGAAUACAUCGGAAUCUACUUUUUCGUGGGUGAUAACGUAGGGAAACUUACGCUAAUACCGCAUACGACCUACGGGUGAAAGCAGGGGAUCUUCGGACCUUGCGCGAUUGAAUGAGCCGAUGUCGGAUUAGCUAGUUGGCGGGGUAAAGGCCCACCAAGGCGGCGAUCCGUAGCUGGUCUGAGAGGAUGAUCAGCCACACUGGAACUGAGACACGGUCCAGACUCCUACGGGAGGCAGCAGUGGGGAAUAUUGGACAAUGGGCGCAAGCCUGAUCCAGCCAUACCGCGUGGGUGAAGAAGGCCUUCGGGUUGUAAAGCCCUUUUGUUGGGAAAGAAAAGCAGCAGGUUAAUACCCCGCUGUUCUGACGGUACCCAAAGAAUAAGCACCGGCUAACUUCGUG
rnacentral:rRNA from 1 species